rnacentral:rRNA from 1 species
AUGGCGUUUCCGUCCGCUGAUGGAGGCGCUGAUGCCGGAUCCGGCGAGGGCGUGUCGGGCGCUGACUCCGGUGGCCGCGGCCAUGCUCGAGGGCACCCCGGCGAGGGCGCCGACUCCGGUGGCCGCGCCCAUGCUCGAGGGCACCACCCAGGCGAGGGCGCUCGCGGCGCUGACUCCGGUGGCCGCGGCCAUGCCCCAGGACACACCGGCGAGGGAUUCUCUUUGGCCAGGCCGUGGGAAGCACCAGGCCUGAAUCCUGGUCAACCUCUUCGAUGGUUCAGCAGGCUGGCUGUGGCCAUCGGGUUCAGGCCCGACCCCAACAAAAGGCGGGGCUACACCCCAACGCCAACUCAAAUCGCGCCUGUUGACCUCUCACCGACCCAGAUUGAAAGGGCUGAGCUGUAUCAAUUUAAGAAACAUCUUGAUGAUCUUUUGAAAGAGGCGAGGCUUAGGUUGAAGACUCCUGAUGAUUUUGAAACUAAUAUUUCUGUGACCCUCCUGAAGCCCUGGCAGGGUGUUCUUUUGAAGUCAGCGAUUGCCUUUGCGUCUAUGAAACGACCGGGUGCAAUUCAAAUGCGUUGGAAACUUGGCGUCACUGCUGUUGAUGUAGCGAUGGAGAAUCAAUCUAUAAAUAGCAAAUAUGUUAGAUUGCUUAACGAGUUCACUUGGAAUAUGAAAGCUUUGGUUGAUCACGCUCGAGAAAAUGAUGAAAUUUCUGCUGAAUCCGCUAGUAAGUUGCUAAAUGAGCUGAGGAAGUUUCACACAAAUGUUUCAAUGGUGUUGGCUCGUGAUCGCAGCCGUUUUUUGGAGGCAUUGCAACAGCUACCUGAAAAUGUCUCCUCUCUUGCUGAUAAGCUCUUAUCUUUUGGCAGUGUGUUCAGAGUUUUUAAUAGCUUUGCCGAUGUGGCAUAUCGUGUAUCCCAGAUGGGUGGUGACCCUGCACUUUUUGAUGAUAUAGGCAAGGAAGUUACUGAUAUGACAAGAGACCCGUUUUUGCUAAAUAGUGUAUAUUUGGGUGCAAUGCAGAACUAUUCUGUAACUUUUGGCUCUGAAAUUGUUGGAAUGAACCUGCUCAAGAAAAUGAUGUUGGGUGUGAGAAAUUUUGAUUUAUCAAUAUUCUUGUCCGCAUCGGAAGUUACACCUGGUCAGGCUGCUGAACCAAAUGGCGCUGAUGUUAAUCUGUAUAAUCAGCCGAAUUAUGCUGAGUUGCAUGCGGAGAAACUGUUUGCUGAUAACAUCAAAGGAAUGCUUCACAUACCUUACUCCCUUAGAAAUUCUAAACUUGAGUUGCAAUGUCUGCAACCAUUCCAAUCUAUUUCUGGUUGUAUUGGGCUGAACAGGGACAGAGAGCCAUCCUUUUCCAUAUCUAGUUUUUGUGGUGUUAAGGAUCUGAAAUUAUAUAAUGUUGAAAGCCUUGGGUUUGGUGGAAAGCUUCACAUAAAUGAUGGGGAUUCAUGGAUCAAUUGUUCUGCUGGUGUCUCUGUCUCAUCCCUGUGGUGCAACCUUGGCCUUACAUUUAAGCAACCAGGCCUCUUCACAGCAACUUGUUCCAGCCGUAUGGGCAAUCGUAGCACUGUUCUUGGGGGUUAUAUCAGUUAUAGCUAUGAGGAGGACCGGACCAAGUUUGCUGCUGGAGUUCAGCAUUCAGUUGAUAGCUCUAUGUAUCUGAAGAGCUGCAUUGGAAGUGACAAAGUCCUCAGAAGUUUUGUCUCCAAGAGCUUCGGCAAAUCCCGUCUCAAUCUUGUAGCUGAAGUUAAUUUCAAGGACUUCCGGAAGCUUUCCCGUGCUGGGAUUUAUUUUUCAUUCCCUUGA